UGGGGAAUAUUGCGCAAUGGGGGAAACCCUGACGCAGCGACGCCGCGUGUGGGAUGAAGGUCUUCGGAUUGUAAACCACUGUCGCGAGGGACGAAGCUCUGACGGUACCUCGAAAGGAAGCACCGGCUAACUCUGUGCCAGCAGCCGCGGUAAUACAGAGGGUGCGAGCGUUGUCCGGAAUCACUGGGCGUAAAGGGCGCGUAGGCGGCCCGGUAAGUAGGGGGUGAAAUCUCAUGGCUCAACUGUGAGGCUGCCUUCUAGACUGCCAGGUUUGAGCACAGUAGAGGCGAGUGGAAUUCCCGGUGUAGCGGUGGAAUGCGUAGAGAUCGGGAAGAACAUCGGUGGCGAAGGCGGCUCGCUGGGCUGUUGCUGACGCUGAGGCGCGAAAGCGUGGGGAGCAAACAGGAUUAGAUACCCGAGUAGUCCCUGAGCGGGCUGGCAAGGCGCAU
rnacentral:rRNA from 1 species